rnacentral:rRNA from 1 species
AUGGCGACCGGCGCACGGGUGAGUAACACGUAUCAACCUGCCGAUAACUCGGGAUAGCCUUUCGAAAGAAAGAUUAAUACCCGAUGGCAUAAUUAGACCGCAUGGUCUUAUUAUUAAAGAAUUUCGGUUAUCGAUGGGGAUGCGUUCCAUUAGGCAGUUGGUGAGGUAAUGGCUCACCAAACCUUCGAUGGAUAGGGGUUCUGAGAGGAAGGUCCCCCACAUUGGAACUGAGACACGGUCCAA